UACGUAGGGUGCAAGCGUUAAUCGGAAUUACUGGGCGUAAAGCGUGCGCAGGCGGUUGUGUAAGUCUGAUGUGAAAGCCCCGGGCUCAACCUGGGAACGGCAUUGGAGACUGCACAGCUAGAGUGCGUCAGAGGGGGGUGGAAUUCCACGUGUAGCAGUGAAAUGCGUAGAGAUGUGGAGGAACACCAAUGGCGAAGGCAGCCCCCUGGGAUGACACUGACGCUCAUGCACGAAAGCGUGGGGAGCAAACAGG
rnacentral:rRNA from 1 species